rnacentral:rRNA from 1 species
GUUGACCUGCCGGACCUGACUGCUAUCGUAUUGGUACUAAGCCAUGCGAGUCGUUGUAGCAAUACAAGGCGGACUGCUCAGUAACACGUAGUUAACUUAACCUAUGGAUGGGGAUAACCUCGGGAAACUGAGAAUAAUACCCAAUAGACCACAGUGCCUGGAAUGGCCUGUGGUUGAAAUGAUUUAUCGCUGUAGGGUAGGACUGCGGCCUAUCAGCUUGUUGGUGAGGUAAUGGCCCACCAAGGCUAUAACAGGUACGGGCUCUGAGAGGAGGGGCCCGGAGAUGGGUACUGAGACACGGACCCAGGCCCUAUGGGGCGCAGCAGGCGAGAAACCUUUGCAAUGUGCGAAAGCACGACAAGGUUAAUCCGAGUGUCUCCUGCUAAAGGAGUCUUUUGUCAGUUGUAGAAUCACUGGUGAAUAAGGGGUGGGCAAGUUCUGGUGUCAGCCGCCGCGGUAAAACCAGCACCUCGAGUGGUCAGGAGGUUUAUUGGGCCUAAAGCAUCCGUAGCCGGUUGCAUAAGUUUUCGGUUAAAUCUAUGCGCUCAACGUAUAGGCCGCCGAAGAUACUGUGCAGCUAGGGAGUGGGAGAGGUAC